GGGGCUGUGGCUCGGUGGCAGAGCACUCGCCUAGCACGUGAGAGGACCUGGUUCAAUCCUCAGCACCA
rnacentral:tRNA from 1 species